AUUGAACGCUGGCGGCAUGCUUUACACAUGCAAGUCGAACGGCAGCGGGGACUUCGGUCCGCCGGCGAGUGGCGAACGGGUGAGUAAUGCAUCGGAACGUGCCUAUCAGUGGGGGAUAACGCUUUGAAAGGAGUGCUAAUACCGCAUAUUCUUUGAGGAGGAAAGCAGGGGACCUUCGGGCCCUGCGCUGAUAGAGCGGCCGAUGUUGGAUUAGCUAGUUGGUGAGGUAAAGGCUCACCAAGGCGACGAUCCGUAGCGGGUUUGAGAGGAUGAUUCGCCCCCCUGGGACUGAGACCCGGCCCCGACUCCUACGGGAGGCAGCAGUGGGGAAUUUUGGACAAUGGGCGAAAGCCUGAUCCAGCCAUGCCGCGUGAGUGAAGAAGGCCUUUUGGUUGUAAAGCACUUUAAGCGAGGAGGAGGCUUUUCUAGUUAAUACCUAGGAUGAGUGGACGUUACUCGCAGAAUAAGCCCCGGCUAACUUUGUG
rnacentral:rRNA from 1 species